GAUCCUGGCUCGGGAUGAACGCUAGCUACAGGCUUAACACAUGCAAGUCGAGGGGCAGCAUGGUCUUAGCUUGCUAAGGCCGAUGGCGACCGGCGCACGGGUGAGUAACGCGUAUCCAACCUGCCUUACACUCUUGGACAGCCUUCUGAAAGGGAGAUUAAUACAAGAUGUUAUCAUGAGUAAGCAUUUUCGCAUGAUUAAAGGUUUACCGUGUAG
rnacentral:rRNA from 1 species